GGGGCUGUGGCUCAGUCGUUGAGCAUCUGUUUGAUAUACAGAAGGACCCAGGUUCAACCCCCAGCAUCUCCA
rnacentral:tRNA from 1 species